rnacentral:tRNA from 5 species
GCCGACUUAGCUCAGCAGGUUAGAGCGGUUGCCUUGUAAGCAACAGGUCGUGGGUUCGAUUCCUACAGUCGGCA